rnacentral:rRNA from 1 species
UCUAGUAGCUGGUUCCCUCCGAAGUUUCCCUCAGGAUAGCUGGUGCAUUAUAAUAUUAUGUUAAAUAAUCUUAUCUGGUAAAGCGAAUGAUUAGAGGCCUUAGGGUCGAAACGACCUUAACCUAUUCUCAAACUUUAAAUGGGUAAGAACCUCACCUUUCUUGAUAUGAAGGUCGAGGUUAUGAUAUAAUGUGCCCAGUGGGCCACUUUUGGUAAGCAGAACUGGCGCUGUGGGAUGAACCAAACGUAAUGUUACGGUGCCUAAAUUAACAACUCAUGCAGAAACCAUGAAAGGCGUUGGUUGCUUAAAACAGCAGGACGGUGGACAUGGAAGUCGUAAUCCGCUAAGGAGUGUGUAACAACUCACCUGCCGAAGCAACUAGCCCUUAAAAUGGAUGGCGCUUAAGUUGUAUACCUAUACAUUACCGCUAAAGUAGAUGAUUUAUAAUACAAUUUCGAUUGAAUUAAUAAAUUUUGAAACUUUAGUGAGUAGGAGGGUACAAUGGUGUGCUUAGAAGUGUUUGGCGUAAGCCUGCAUGGAGCCGCUAUUGGUACAGAUCUUGGUGGUAGUAGCAAAUAAUCGAAUGAGACCUUGGAGGACUGAAGUGGAGAAGGGUUUCGUGUGAACAGUGGUUGAUCACGAGUUAGUCGGUCCUAAGUUCAAGGCGAAAGCCGAAAAUUUUCAAGUUUUAAUGC